UGUACUGAGUUCUCAGUACUGCCAGAAGCUUGAUGUCACUUCUGCCUCCAUGAGAUGGCUGAACAGUUAAAGAUAUUUCUGCACUUCUUUAGGUGACCAUGGAUUUCAUCAAUGAAUUAGCAUGACAGACCCAACAAAAGCUACCUCAAGUACAGCUGGUCUGUUUCAGAAGUGGACUAAAGUACUCUUUUUCGUUUUAUGUCAUUGAAGAUAAUUAACUCCCUGGGACUUUUUUUCUUAAAUAGAGCAGAUGAAACGAGGACAUGAGACCCUAUUUCUUCCUGACAAUGGAAAAACUCCUUUUGACAGUCUUGGAGCUAAACACUGAUGCUGCCAAUGUCUAAACUUAGCUGAGAUGUAUACCUCUCUCAUUCUGCCUAAAUUUGAGGUCUCUCUAAGUGUGCUUAGAUCUAACACACAUGAGAAAUACAAACCUCUUCCCAAUAUGAAAUGCUGGACAUUCUCUUUCCAGAUAACACUGUGAGUAGUGUGGCUAUCUGUGAAAAUGAAUAGAAGGCUUGAUUGGAUUCUCACCUUUUUUUCUGGAAGAUUUUCAAAUGUUGCUUAAUCUCUUCUCAGAAUAGAACUCUACUCACUAGUAAGCAGAAUAAACUUCCUCCACAACACAAAUUUCAGGACUUGUGAAGUCUGUACCCUUUAGGAAGUUUCAGGCAUGUAAGUAUUUUGUGAGAUAUUGAUAUAUCAGGAAUUUUCUGAAAAUCCUGCCUCAUGUCUUUUAAGGUUUUUAAGAAAUACAUUAAGCAAAGAAAAAAUACAACAACACACUGAACAAAAUAGAAGCUAAAAAAAAAAAUCAAAAUAAUUAGAAUAUCUUUAUGCAUCCUGAAAUGGCACUAGCAUAACUUGUUUUGCUCUACUGUUUACUUUUAAUAAUGCCUCAUUUGUUUAUUUUGGGUCUAAUUGGGAGGGGUUACAAUGUUUCCCUUAAUUAGCUAAUAACAUGCAUUCAUAACAGUCCGUGUGAUUAUAAUUUGACUUUAAUUGUCUGUAUAGUGCCCUGGAUCACUUGGCAAGAAGGAGAUUUACAAGCAUAACUCAUUAUAUUAUUGACAUGACUUCAUAAUUUUCCAUUUUCCUCUUAGAAAUACAAUAUUAAGAUAUUUUGAGCAAUGAACUGUGAGGACAAUGGGGAAGUGCAUCUAUUUAACUAGCUGCCCAGAAAGAGAGCAAUCCCCCUGAAACUUGCCCCCCCCCCUUUUAUUUUUACAGUCUACAGAGACUUCAGUGGAUGCUUAUCAGAGGUAGUAACAAUAUCUACCAAUGCAUAGUUGUCUUUUAAAAUCGCCUUAUGCUCUUCAAACAUAUACUGCACUGAUUACACAGAUGCCACUAUUUGUUGCUAAUUGGGAUUGUUUGAUUGUUUUUUUGCACUGCUGCUCUUCUCUGUUCUAUCCAGUUCUGUUCAGGUUAUAUCUGUUCUGCAUCUGCAGCCACUUUAACUAGUUUGAAUGAAUGUAAUAGCACAGAUAGCAUAUGAGCAUAGCUAAGUUGAAACUGUUUUCUGAGUUUUCUAUCUGUUUGCUGGGUUUCCUGGGUGAGUUUUGAAGUCGAAACUAAUUGCAUACAGUUCAAGUUAGGCUGAUAUUUAUGUUCAAGAUGGUUCAUUUUCAGGGAGUCUGCUUUGAGCUUAUCACUGUGACUCCAUUGCAGGCAGUGAAGUUCAGUUUGUAUCUUCAGGAAUAGAGAACUAUUAUGUUUAUUAUGAUUAUUAUGAUCUUUUUUGUUGUUGUAUUACUGUUUAUUAUGCUUUAUUAUUAUAUACCAUUAUUAUUUUCAUAGUGUAAUAUUAUGUAUUAAUAACUUGGAACUAAAAUUAAUACUUUCAAGCAGUAUAAGAAUGCAAUUAAUAAUGCAUCUUGUAAACCUCAAGGCUUAAUUAACGGAAGCUGGUGUAAGUGGACAUAGUUAUUACUUUUUUCUUUGUACUGUACCUAAAACAAGUUGGUUUUUCUAAACUAAUUUUAGACCUCCCAUAAAUGCAGUAGAAAACUAGGACACUACAAUAGGCAGUCAAGUUUGUGAUUCAGGUGAGUUUUGCUUUGCAAUUCUACAUUUAUUUAAACCCAGUCUUUGGUACUGAAACAGAGAAAUACUGAAUAUAGACACCUUCAGACAAGAGGUAUAUUGAGAAAGGACUUAUUUACAAAAUUCUAGGACAUCCUACAGUCAGUAGACACAAUAUGCACAUUAAUGUUUUCUAUGUUGAAUAUUAAAUUUUAAACUUGACUUCUAAAAUGCAUCACAUUAAAGGAGCUCCUUUUUCUCUAGACCAGCAUAAACCAGUGUUUGAAAAUGAAAUUUUUCUGAUACAUAGGAUGAGUCUUAGCCCCCCCCAAAAAGCUUUUCUAAAGCAGAAUCCUGUUUGCAAUAGUAAUGUUAGAUAAGAGCAAUCAAAAAGGACAAGUACCCACUAAAUGUUCUACAAGUAUCCUUCCAGCCUUAUGUUCUUGCAUAGAAAACACCUCUGACUUUUCAUUUAGCAAUUUUAAAGGUAAUUCUCUUCCAUGAACUAUUUCCAGCUCACAUAAACAUUUAUGUUCUACAGAAACCUCAGUUCAC
ensembl:lncRNA